rnacentral:lncRNA from 1 species
UAAUUAAGGCUAGCAAUUUUGGCUAGUUCGUACAAUUGGCAUGACAUCUACAAUUGAAAAUUCGAUAUUAUUUGUAUUAUUGGAUCUGCCAAGUAUAUACAAAAUUUUGUGAUAAUCUAACAAUGUCGUUUAGAGAUAUCUAGUUUUUAACACAAGAGGAUUUUAGAAGGUGGCAGUUUGAGGUCAGGUAGGGUUUCUAUGAUAUUUGAAGAUCUAUUUGUCAGAUUAAGGUGAAAAUUGGCAUGGUAUUGGAAGAACUAAAGAUCAAGCUACACAGUAGUUUUGAAUAAAGUUAAAAAUUGGAGAAGGAGAAAUCAUUG